CGCGCGCUACACUGAUGCAUUCAACGAGCCUACCCUGGUGCCGAGAGGUAUGGGUAAUCUGAGAAACUGCAUCGUGAUGGGGCUAGAUUAUUGCAAUUAUUGAUCUUCAACGAGGAAUGCCUAGUAAGCGCGAGUCAUCAACUCGCGUUGAUUACGUCCCUGCCCUUUGUACACAC
rnacentral:rRNA from 1 species